rnacentral:rRNA from 1 species
UACGAGGGGGGCAAAUGUUGUUCGGAAUCACUGGGCGUAAAGGGCGCGUAGGCGGGCUUUUAAGUUAGGUGUUUAAUCCCAGGGCCCAACCCUGGUCAGGCACCUAAAACUGGGAGUCUUGAAUAGUGGAGAGGACGAUGGAAUUGGGGGUGUAGCGGUGGAAUGCGUAGAGAUCCCCAAGAACACCAGUUGCGAAGGCGGUCGUCUGGACACAUAUUGACGCUGAGGCUCGAAAGCAUGGGGAGCAAACAGG